UACGGAGGGUGCAAGCGUUAAUCGGAAUUACUGGGCGUAAAGCGCACGUAGGUGGCUUGAUAAGUUGGGUGUGAAAUCCCCGGGCUUAACCUGGGAAUUGCAUUCAAGACUGUCUUGCUAGAGUGUGGAAGAGGUAAGUGGAAUUGCGAGUGUAGAGGUGAAAUUCGUAGAUAUUCGCAGGAACACCAGUGGCGAAGGCGGCUUACUGGCCAUAACUGACGCUGAGGUGCGAAAGCGUGGGGAGCAAACAGGG
rnacentral:rRNA from 1 species